CUGAAAGCUUAUAAAGGAUAUUUUCUGAACACACAACCAGCUGUAGAAUUCAUGUAGCAUAAUAGGUAACCAAAUCAUCACUUCCCUCUCUUUUCUUUUUUUUUUCUUUUUUCUUUUUUUUUUUUUUUUUCUUUUAGCUCACCUUGUUCAACACAACUGGAGCCAGACUUUUCAGAACAGAUUGGUAUUCUUCAGUUCUCCAAGUUAAGGGCCGUUUAUUUUGAAAGGACUGAAUGGCCAAUUAGGCUGUGAAGGUGUGCUGCAGCCUGCCAUUUCUCUUGGCAAUAACUUGGAAGAAAGAAGAGAAGCUUUUUGGAAAAAAAUCUCUGCUAAGCAGAGCGUGGUGGAGGUGGGAGGAAGAAGGUCUGCCUGGGAGCUGGCAACCCCACACCUCAAAUCACCACUGGGAAAACAGCCCAUGGAAAUGCAUCCUCCUCCCACUUCAAGUCUUACCUGUAUUUGGCAGUGGGAUUUAAGGUGAGUGCUUUAAACCUGACUAGCCUGAUAGAAAUGAUGAAGGUAGCUCUGCUCACCCUCCAUUGGUGGGUUCACUGUCCCCAGGGGAAUGAACGGUCCUGUGUAUCUGGAAAUAGAACUUCUAGAGAAAGUUUUGAGACACAAAAACCUACAUUUUCCUCUUAACAUAAAAGCCAGUGACAGACUGAGGAAUUUAUCAAGCAAAUUCAUGACUUAAAAAAUCACAAACACCUUUUUCUUGCCACCUGAGGACUUACUGUAUGUAUUUUAAAACUCUUGUGGCUGCCUCCUUGAUCAGUUACUUCAGGUGGUAGCACUGACGUGAAACCUGCUGAGCUGAUGCUCACUGCAUCAGUCUGAGCCUUUACAGAAGUGCAUGACAGGACUAACACAGCAAGAAAAGAUUGGUAAUCCUUCUGGCUUGCUGGCUUUGCUUUCUAGGAUGAAAAAUUGCAGAUAAAGCUCUGAUGAUGUAGAUAGGUUUGUUGCAGGUGGAGAUGAGAUGAUCUGAUCUGUGGUGAUGAACCUUGUCCCUUAACAACAAACAGGUUAAAAUGUCCCCUCCAUGCUGGAUUUCUCUCUCUUGUCUCAUGCUGAGUGUUGGCCUUUUGAGGUCAUUCAUCCUGCUAAGCUUUUAAUAAACAAGUGCAACUGGUGAGUAAGCAACUUUAUAUAAUUUAAUUUGUUCUCAAGGAUGCCUGGAGUCAAAGUAUAUGACAUACAAAAACAUGACUAUGCUGUAGUUCACAUGCAGGUGUCAAGACUGCUCGAGGAUGAUGACUUUAGGAAGCAUUAGCAUUUAUCACAAUGGUGCCUGAACCCUGAGAGUGAUGGGCUGGUGGGUUUCCCAGACCAUGAACCCAAUCCAAGUGAGAUGUGCAUGUGUGUCCAUGUAUACGUAAUACAAGGGAGUCAUUUCCCUUGAAAUGAAAGAUAAAGUUGGGCCUACAAUUGGUUGAUCAUCAAUUUAUCCUCUGUUGUGGCAGUGUGGCAGUGUUGGAAAUAUAGGUAACUUUUAUCAGCUGAAGGAUCAUGGGGAGAACCACUGUGUACAAUUUGACAAUGCAGCAUUGCAGGUUUAUUUCACUCUGUUGAGUGACUGACUUUAAACAAGGUGUCAUUCUCAUCACUGUUGCACUUGCUUUUCGUCUGCGUUGCUAGGAAGUAGAAGUUGGGUCAAUUUUCUGAGAGGUUUCUCUGAUGCUGUUCAUGUUCUUGCACGCAGCUGAUGAGUAGCCCAACCUCAGGCUGUGUGAGAAAACUUUGAAAUCCAGUAAGCAGGUCCCUGAGGGAGCAAACAGGGGUCAGACGCUCAUCAGCUCACCUUGUGUGUAGCAGAGAGAUUGAUGGCUUGCACUGAGUUCACCAAGCCUUACACAGACACUGUCUGCUGAGACUGUGAUUCACCCUGAGAGAUCAAGAAAUGAUAGGAAAAGGGGGAAUAUUAUUUUGCUGAUUGGUUAUUAUUUCUUUGUUCUGGAACACUUGUGUCUGAAAGAGAUGUUACAGUCAGUUCUGUAUCUGGGUGGAUGAGAAACAUAUGAGACAAGCAAUGUAUCACCUCUUGAACAAAUGCUAGCCUUCUUCUAGAAAUCAGAAGGCAAAGAAAGAACGUGACAGUCAGGAGGCUGCUCUUUUACACCUGUCCAUUCCUGCUUCAGAACUUGGUGAGCAAACUGAAAAAUGUAUUGAGCUUUCAAAAAAAAAUAAAUUCCAGUUUGUCAUGCGGAGUGGCAGAGUGUUUUAAAGGACUUUUCUUCCCAGUUUUUAUCUUUUUUUCUUCCCAGGACUUUUCUUCCAUUAUUUAUAUCCACAUAAAAGACGUUCUCUGUGC
ensembl:lncRNA